ACUGAAAUGAAAGUGGAAACGAGGAGAAACCUUAAAUGGCAGCGAACACUUUGACUUUACUCUGACUUUGAGGAGUCUGUUGAGGAGCUGUGUUACUAAUACACAACACACUGUCGAUAACGGCAGUGACGUCAGACUCUGGGUCUUCAGUCUGAAGGUGUCUGCUACAUGGACACCACAAAGAAAAUGAUGUUUGGUUUUUUAACUCAGGUCUAAUAGAUGUUUUAAAAACGAUACACAGACGACGACGUUGUUCUGACGUAAAGGUCACGUCAUAGACCAGGUUCUGUGCUGUCCUAAUCUGAGGGACACCAGUGUCCACAUGGACCAUAUCUUGAUGUUGUGGGCCUCACCCAGGUAAUAAGUCCCAGUACUAGUAAACAUGUAGUCAGUUACAAAUAUAAAGUAUAAUAAACAACGUUAAGAAGAGGUUUUUACCUGGACCAGAUCAGAGGACUAAAGUCUCCUGGUCUUCGUUCGUCCCGGUCCCAGACUCUCUGCAGUGGCUGCACAUCUGGGCCUCUUUAUACCUGAGAAACGGGGUUUUGUUUCUGAAAAGGCAAACCAGCAGUCUACUAUACACUUCAUGGACACUAGGGGGGGCCACUGCCCCCACCACUGGAGACCAAAGAUCGGACACAGGACUGAGAAGAAGUCUGCUGGGGUAUACAGUAUAUAUAUACAAUAUAUAUAUACUGUAUAUAUAUACACUGCCUUUGAAUGCCACCUACUGUUAGGUUUAAUGAAACGAGGAGACGCCGACUGCUGUGAGUGGAUGAUGUCACUUCCUGCAGCUCAACAACACACUGACCCCAGACCCCACAGUGUCGCUGAACACACUGGUCCUUGAAGACGUUAUAAAAACACAGACACAGGUUCACCUGAAGUCAAACCACUCAUCAUCAGGUUUAUAAAGUGUCCAGUCCAGAAGAUCAAACAGCACUGAGAGGUAAACACACACACACACACACACACACACACACACACAGCUGUGUUUCCUGAGAGCUGUGAAGACUGGAGUUUGAACCUCAAACAUCAUCUUCUGCUCCAGCCACUCAUCAAAAUAAUACAAGUGCAGAACCAGUCACUGGUCAGUUCUCUGGAUCAGUAUUCAACACAGGAGGACACAGCCUGACAGUGGUCAGAGGUCAGAGGUCAGUGGUCUGGAGGAGGUCUGUGUCCUGACCUCUGACCCUCAUCACAGUCAACACUCUCUUCUCUUCUAUUAUACACAAACAUUCUGUUUGUUGUUUUCAUAGUUUGUCACUUGAUCAAGUCAUUACUGCAGAACUGGUUCUAGUUUUACAAGUACACAGUACAGAGUACAGAGUACAGAGUACAGAGUACAGAGUACUCAUGAUUCAUCUCUCAGACGUAGUAUUUCACAGUCACAUCACCCUGGUGUUACAUACACUGUAUCAUGUACUACGCUUCUGCACUUCUGGGUAGGUUAACUGCAGUUUUCUGAUCUAAUCUGAUCUAAUCUGAUCUAAUCUAAUCUAAUCUG